UGCUCAGGGCCGGUCAGAGCGGAGUUGGUUGUCCCGGAGUUCAGUUGAAAGUUUUACUGCAUCGAUUGAAAACAAUGAUUCGUGUUUGUGCUUAUCCGAAUUGCAAGAACAGGAUGUCGCGCAACACCCCGUACAGCUUUCAUAGGCUGCCUUUGUCGGACGGCGAGAUGUUGAAGCUGUGGCUAAUUGUGCUACAACUGGAUGCUAACUGUCGUCACACACAGCCCAGAGGAAGUGAAGGAUACAUUGAGACAGCAGUUGAUGGAGAGACUUCUCACCAGACUGCAAUCUGCCUUAAACCAGCAACCACUAAAUCUGGAUUAUUUGGAGUUCCUAACUCGCCAUGAUCUUAUACUGUUUGGAUCAUUCUCUGAGCAGAUAGGAGGUGUAUCAGAGAUUACAGAGGCACUCCAAAACCUCCAUCACGUUGUCCAGAGAAAUUGAUGCCAGCUCUAUGCCUAUUGUGGAACAGGAAACAGAAGUUGGUCCAGGUCCUGGUCACCCCAAAAUUGUAAUAGAGAAAGAAAAACUGAAGAGUUUGCUGGACACACAUCUGCCAGUCUUCUGCAUUGCAAAAUUCCUUGGUGUCUCAAGAAGAACCGUUUACAGGAGAAUGCAAGAAUUUGGCUUGUCAGUAAGAGGAUCAUACAGUUCUGUGACUGACCAAGAACUUGACAACAUAAUUUCAGGUGUUAAAAUUCAGAUGCCAAAUGCUGGAUACAGAAUGGUUCAAGGCCAUCUGGUUUCACUGGGCCUUCACGUUCAGUGGUGGAGAAUGAUGGCCUCCAUGCACCGAGUUGAUGCUGCAGGGAUCUUCUCACGGAUCCUAGAACUGGGGUGUGUUGUGCGAAGAAGUUAUUCUGUCCGUGGCCCUCUCUCCUUGGUCCACAUUGAUAGAAAUCAUAAACUGAUAAGGUACAAUAUUGUGAUCUUUGGUGGAGUGGACGGAUACUCAAGGAAGGUAAUUGAUUUUUGUGUAUGCGUGUGUGUGGUUAAUGUCAUCAGCUUAAUGUAGAUUGUUUUGAAUUCCAAAUUAGACCUUAAUAUGCAUAUUGUUAAGAUCUCAACAUCCACACAGGGAUGUAGCGGACCUAGGCAUAAAAUCCUAACUCCUAAGGAUGUAAAGUUCUUUUAUCAUUGUGAGUUCAUACAAAUUGUAUAUAGUUUAUCUCUAGCUCUCCUGAAGAAUUCACAUCUGGUUAUUCUUUUCAUAUUCAAAAAAAUCUUAAAUAGAAAUGAUUUGACUUAAUACAACCUGUACAAAUAGGCAGCAAUCAAUCAAGUUGCAUUUAUUAAACAUUUACCUUACAUAUUUCUUGCAGGAAGUGCUUAAAAAUACAAAGCAUUUUAUGUUGCUGCUCUAGUUUUUCAGAUUUUAACUGUAAGUAGUCCCUAAUUCAUAUCUGCUUGCCUUUCCUGUCCCACAGAGUAAUAAUUUAGAUGCAACUGAAUGUAUAGUUGUGUAUUUCAGAUCAACGUUGUGUUUGAGUGUCUGACUUCUCUCAACCAAUUUAAGUGUUAAACACGCAAAAUAGUCAGUUGCAUCACAAGUUCAAUAUAUAUAGUAUUUUAGUAUGUAACAUAUACUGAGGUGAUAUCAAACGCAACAUAAGGUUCUAUUGCAAUGGUAUGUUAUGUGUAAAGAUGUAGGAUUUACCAAUGUCUUCUUAUGAUAUAAUAAAAUACCAAAAGCUCUAUGACUGACUGUAAAAAUGUAAUACAGUAGCUGAUAGCAUAUGUAAAAUUUUCCAUAUUUUAUUGCCGAUAAUGUACUUGGGUGCAGCAACAAAUAACAAGGCUUCAACUGCAUUCUCAUUCUUCCUGAGAUCAACCCAGCUUCAUGGCCUACCAUCUAGGUAAUUAUCCUGACAAAAACACAUUGGGAGAAGUGGCAUUUAUUUAUUUUUCAUAUACUAGCAACAAAAUAUUUCAUUUCCUCUACUAAAGUUGAAGUAAACCUUUUUAAAUGUCAUUAAAAUUUAUUUUCAUCUUAGGGUAAGGGGGGAUCAAGGUGCUGAAAACGUGGACAUCGCACACUUCAUGUUUGCCACACGGGGAACUGGAAGACAAAGCUUUAUCUCAGGAAAGAGCGUUCAUAACCAGAGGAUUGAGAGACUUUGGCGGGACGUCUGGGUUGCGGUCACUAGCAAGUACCAUGAUGUCCUUCACUCUGGAGGAAGAUGGCCUACUAGACAUCUCUGAUGUGGUCCACCUCUUUGGUGUGCACUACAUCUUUGUCCCCCGACUACGAGCAGACCUCGACACCUUCACUGAAGGAUGGAAUAAUCAUCCUCUGCGGACAGAGGGAGGUCUCACUCCUGAACAGCUGUGGUGUAUGGGACAUCUACAAGAUCUAGACGAAGGGGAGAAACUUGAGGAUCUUCAAGACGCAGGGAUUGACUGGGAGAGUGCCAUGCUACAAGAAGACUCUAACAGUACAGUUAUGGUUCCUGAAAUUGCGUGCCCACUGGAUGAUGAAGCUCUAGAUGAACUUCAGAGAGCUGUUGAUCCUCUGGAACAUUCUCAGUCACAUGGUCGUGACUUGUACACACGAUUCUUGCACUGCGUGUCAAGCCAACAAUGACACUGAAAUAUUGAAAUAUGAACUGAGCUGGUUACAACAUUGCAAAGCUCUUUUCCCUAAAACAUCCCCUCAAAUUUAUGAAUGGACAAGCAAGCAAAAAAAAGGGAAGGGGAGGGGCAUUUAAAGGAGUUUUGUCAGCCAUAUACAACAUGUGACUGAAAUAACAAAAUGUUCAACCAGUAGUAACGUUGCAGAAUUCACAGAAUGAGACUGACAUCUAGAAGAACAUAGAUUUUAGAGAUAAUGGAAACAAAACUACCAGUCUCUGUUCACUGAGGAACACAAAACAUUGUAGAGCCCUCUUGCUUUAAUUUGAUUCUGACUCUAUUAGACUGUGGAAUCCACCACCAUAUCUAACUGCUUCACUCAUGAUUCUUUUAAAGUCAUCAUAAGUGCCAAGAUGCUGUACUGGAAAAGUCACAGUCUGUGUACAUGCACUCACAGUUGGGUAACACACUGAGUGAUCUCCUUGCUGCUCUCUGCAUUCAUGGUUAAAGAUGCAUGUUAUUUUGAAGCAUCUCUUUUCAUCAGGGAGGAUGGGGAUGUGGGAUUGCCCCGUCAUCCACUGGAGCACGUGUUGCACUGCAAGAGGCCCUGUGUCACCAGCUGCACUGUCUGUCUCCCCACCCGUGAUGGAUAUAUUAAUGUUUCAAAUAACACAGAUUAAGAAGAGCAAUUUAAAGUCAUUGUCUUUAAAAUACUUUUUCAAAACAUUUAUAUGUGCUUGGUACAACAAAAUCUGUAAAACAUUGAAAUGAUAUUAUGUAUGUGCUUGGUAUAUGUAUAGUAUAUAGUACCUGACAUUUCGAUCUCCUGCAAGAAAUCUUGUAAGAAGUUGAUUAUCUUCCUCUCAGUUCUCUCCUUAGAUGUCCCCUUUUCACUGAAUUGUGACUGGCAGUUCAUCAUUAUGAAGUCAGCAUCAGGCUAUAAAGAGAGUAAAUGCAGAUUCAGUUAAAUAUUCUUGUAUGUUCAAACUCAGGCUAUGACUGAAACACACACACACACAAAAACAGAGCAAAGUGAAUGUCUGUAGUUUCUGUGUAGAAAGUGGCAGUUAAAAUAGUUACCUUGAUGAUCUUCCCCGGAACAAACAGGGGGUGACAAGCUUCAGGGUUUGUAGCCAUCUGGUUCACCAGGCCAUACAGUUCCAUGCCCUUUCUGAGUUGCUGCAGCAUUGGAAUCAGUCUUGUUGUAGAAUGUAAGACAAUUGCUCUUUGAAGAAAAGCACACAAAAAUUCAAAACUGUUGCAAAGUUAACAUUUUUGCAUGAAAAAUAUUUAAAAUGUUAUUCUUUGAAAACUUA